UACGUAGGGGGCAAGCGUUGUCCGGAUUUAUUGGGCGUAAAGAGCGUGUAGGCGGCUAGGUAGGUCCGUUGUGAAAACUCGAGGCUCAACCUCGAGACGCCGAUGGAAACCAUCUGGCUAGAGUCCGGAAGAGGAGAGUGGAAUUCCUGGUGUAGCGGUGAAAUGCGCAGAUAUCGGGAGGAACACCAAUGGCGAAGGCAGCUCGCUGGGACGUUACUGACGCUGAGACGCGAAAGCGUGGGGAGCAAACAGG
rnacentral:rRNA from 1 species